UAGAAACACCAGUUCUCAUACGGUCACCGAAGUUAAGCAAUGUUGAGCCUAGUCAGUACCUGGAUGGUUGAUCGCUUGCUAAUACCAAGUGCUGUAAG